AUGCCAUUAUUUUAUGUAAAAUAGUUAGUUUCGGCCUAGCAGAAGCUUAUAACGCAUGGUAAA
rnacentral:tRNA from 1 species